rnacentral:sRNA from 1 species
AUGUACCCCGUACACUCCAGUUACUCCACGCUGUCCGCACCCACCUGACGACUGCUCGCCACGUGUUGUUAGCA